ensembl:snRNA U1 U1 spliceosomal RNA
AUACUUACCUGGCAGGGAAGAUAGCAUGAAGGUGGUUUUCCCAGGGCAAGACUUCAUCCACUCUGGAUGUGCUGACCUCUGAUUUCCCCGAAUGCAGGAAGCUUGACUGCGUAAUCUGUGGUAGUGGGGAACUGUGCUAGCAUUCUCCCCUG